AGAAAAUAUCGCGUGAUGUAAUUAACAUCGCUCACAAUUAUAAACAAAAUAAAAUAUGGCGCGCCAAGAAGAACCUUUUGGCAAAUAAGAUAAAAGAUCGACCCAGAGAGAGGUAAAACAUAGAUAUUCUGAGUUUUUAUUACGUUUAAACAGUAAUUACAUGUCAAUAGAAAUAUGUGACCGUUGUGAUUUCCCUUAUUUGUUGAUACAAAUCGGCUAUUUUCCCAAUUUCAAUGUUCGCUUGUUCGUGCAAAAAUGAGAUUUUAUCGGCAUUUUGUACGAUGUAAUAUAUACGCAAUCGCUUUACAGCGUUUUUUAAGGCGACAACAUUAAUUUGUGUGUGGGUAUUUGUUUCGAAUCGAGGGGUACGGCAUCUUAAAUCACAAUUAUUUGACUUAUUACCGAACAUUUUCAAUACGAUUUCAACUUUCGAGCCGAUUGCUCUGUUAGUCUGUUUCUGCCAGCAGGCCCAGCAAUGCCAGUAUGCAUGAGAUAUACUUUGCUCGAAUAUUUUAAAAUAUCUGUUUUACUUUUGACUACUGUUUUAACAUAAUAUAAAAGUGGGACAGUAUCUUUUUAUCCUGCAUUUGAUACUAUAUUCUAUAAUAAUGGGAAUAUCAAACGCUUGCUGGUCUCUAUGCUUUGCUAGUGCAUAUUUGUGUUUGUCUCUAUGCGUUGCUAGUGCAACUCUUGACUUUGUUUGAAGAUACCAGUAAAUCUCCCUUGAUUAUAAGUUAAGUUCUUUUAUCUCUUGAAUGUCUCCUUUUAUUUAAUUGUCUUGGGCCUUGGCUUGUGUAGGAUAUCAUUCGAUCAAGUAGGUAUAAAACGCUCAAUGUUUUCAAUAACAAUAUUGGAUCACAGACACAGAUGGGGGUUGACUCGAGGGUUGACUUGAACACAAUUCUCCCAAAGUUCUUUUAUUAUUUGAAUGUUUCCAUUUAUUUAAUUGUCUUGGGCCUUGGCUUGUGUAGGAUAUCAUUCGAUCAAAUAGGUAUAAACGUUCAAUGUUUUUAAUAACAAUACUGGAUCACAGACACAGAUGUGGGUUGACUUGAACACAAUUUUCCCAAAGUUCUUUUAUUAUUUGAAUGUUUCCAUUUAUUGCCACUGUUCAUUACAAUGUUCAUGGUCCCUUUGGCUGGGCUUGUGACCACUUUGAAUUUCUCUACCGAAUAUAAUUUUAUGCUGGUAGCUAUAGUAAAAUUUCUAAUCGCAUGUAUUUCUCAUGCUUGUGACAUAGUGAGAUGAAUAUUAUUUGAAUCGAAAAAAAAUCACAAUUAUAAAUUAUUGUUUGUUUUGCCAAUUUACAUCAAAACUGAAGAUGUACCCUCCAGAAGCCAAUACAAACACAUACAUUAUGCAAUGUAGAUCAGUCAAAAACAAUUAUCGAUCAUAGUAUAAAAUGGUAUACCGCAUGUCCUGAUAAUCCUAAUCAUUCAUGAAAUUAGCAGAAUUUUUUGUAUCAACAAACUUAGAAAAGCCUUAACAAAGUUCUAAUUGUUAUUUUGUUUUAGCUAUGGUAAUCCACAUUGCACAGCAAAUAUGGUAAUAAUAAUAAUAUGGUAAUAAUUAAUAUGGUAAUUGCACAUUGGACAGCCUUGCUUCUUCCAUCAUCAGAAGAGAUUCUCAACUCACCUGAUGUGUUGCCUUGGCAAAAUAGACAUUUAUCAGAGGAAUAACUGCGCUAGGAGAUAUACUUUCCUCCUUACGUUUUGAACCAGAUGAGGUUGUUGAAGCCAUUGACAAUUGUGUGCCUUAAUAUUUUUAAUACUGCAUUAUUAUAUUUAUAACAUGUACUAUGAACAUUAAAAAUUCAACACUACAUUAAAUCAAUAUUUCUUUGCCCCUCUCAGAAUGAAAAUAUAAUUCGAAUUGUUUGGUGUCUUGUAUUAAGACUAUUAUGUGCUACAGUGAUUACAUUAUUUUAACUUGACAUGUAUGAAAGAGACAAAUCAAAUAGGGGUAAUCAUAUUUUCAAACAAAGACACCCAAAAAGCUAUAAAAAUAUCAAGUAUCCAAGCGAUAUAUGAUGAAAACUAUUUUAGUUAUAACGAUAAUAAGGAAAUAAUAUGUUAAUAAAUAUAUAAUACAAACUUUAUGUGUCUUCGUCGCCUGUUUUGUUUGAUAAAAACCUUGUUUCAAUCGAUCUUUCGAGCAAAGAAUUACCAUUUUAUUGCGC